rnacentral:misc_RNA from 1 species
AAAUACAAAGCCCAGCCAUGGAAGAUUAAUAUACAACAAUGUGGAGUGAUGACAACUGCUUGAAGAAUGUGAACCACAGGAUGAUUGGAUUGUCGUCUAAGCUCCUGUGGACUCUCCAGGUCCCUCUGUAUUAUUAUUAUUGUCUGAGCAGUCGUCUCUGGAGUAAGCACUUCCAGGAACCUUCACUGAGAUUAGCUGAUCAUCAAU